rnacentral:rRNA from 1 species
AUUGAACGCUGGCGGCAUGCCUUACACAUGCAAGUCGAACGGCAGCACGGGAGCUUGCUCCUGGUGGCGAGUGGCGAACGGGUGAGUAAUACAUCGGAACGUACCCUGAAGUGGGGGAUAACGUAGCGAAAGUUACGCUAAUACCGCAUAUUCUGUGAGCAGGAAAGAGGGGGAUCGCAAGACCUCUUGCUUUAGGAGCGGCCGAUGUCGGAUUAGCUAGUUGGUGAGGUAAAGGCUCACCAAGGCGACGAUCCGUAGCGGGUCUGAGAGGAUGAUCCGCCACACUGGGACUGAGACACGGCCCAGACUCCUACGGGAGGCAGCAGUGGGGAAUUUUGGACAAUGGGCGCAAGCCUGAUCCAGCCAUGCCGCGUGAGUGAAGAAGGCCUCGGUGUAAGAUCUUCGUGGGAGAAU